rnacentral:rRNA from 1 species
GAUGAACGCUGGCGGCGUGCUUAACACAUGCAAGUCGAACGAAGCACUUUAUUUGAUUUCCUUCGGGACUGAUUAUUUUGUGACUGAGUGGCGGACGGGUGAGUAACGCGUGGGUAACCUGCCUUGUACAGGGGGAUAACAGUUGGAAACGGCUGCUAAUACCGUAUAAGCGCACAGCAUCGCAUGAUGCAGUGUGAAAAACUCCGGUGGUAUAAGAUGGACCCGCGUUGGAUUAGCUAGUUGGUGAGGUAACGGCCCACCAAGGCGACGAUCCAUAGCCGACCUGAGAGGGUGACCGGCCACAUUGGGACUGAGACACGGCCCAAACUCCUACGGGAGGCAGCAGUGGGGAAUAUUGCACAAUGGGCGAAAGCCUGAUGCAGCGACGCCGCGUGAGCGAAGAAGUAUUUCGGUAUGUAAAGCUCUAUCAGCAGGGAAGAUAAUGACGGUACCUGACUAAGAAGCACCGGCUAAAUACGUG